rnacentral:rRNA from 1 species
AUUGAACGCUGGCGGAAUGCUUUACACAUGCAAGUCGAACGGCAGCACGGGGCAACCUGGUGGCGAGUGGCGAACGGGUGAGUAAUACAUCGGAACGUGCCCAAUCGUGGGGGAUAACGUAGCGAAAGUUACGCUAAUACCGCAUACGAUCUACGGAUGAAAGCGGGGGAUCGCAAGACCUCGCGCGAAUGGAGCGGCCGAUGUCAGAUUAGGUAGUUGGUGGGGUAAAGGCUGACCAAGCCAACGAUCUGUAGCUGGUCUGAGAGGACGACCAGCCACACUGGGACUGAGACACGGCCCAGACUCCUACGGGAGGCAGCAUUGGGGAAUUUUGGACAAUGGGCGCAAGCCUGAUCCAGCCAUUCCGCGUGCAGGAUGAAGGCCUUCGGGUUGUAAACUGCUUUUGUACGGAACGAAACGGCUCUCUCUAAUACAGGGGGCUAAUGACGGUACCGUAAGAAUAAGCACCGGCUAACUACGUGCCAGCAGCCGCCGUAACAC